CCCGGACCGCCCGCCAGGCUAAGGACAACCAAGACCGAUCGGAGGGGCCUUCUGCAGGGACAGGAGAACACAAGAUGAUGCCUGAAAGUGAACUGCGUAAAUUAGCUGGCUGGAGUAGAGGAAAGUCAGUCAUUAUGUCGGAAAGGCAGGCUGACCUCUGAGGAGGAAGGGGAGAGGUGGAGGAGAGGAGGGCAAGGAGAGGGAGAUGGGAGGGGAAAACGCCUGGCAGAGGCUACACGAUGUCCACACUGAGAAAUCGGGGUGAAGGGUAGAUGGUGUUCUUUGUGUUAUUUUCCAACAUUUCGUAAAUCUGAAAUUACAUCAAAACGAAAAUGGAAAUGGCAGUGGAGCUCCUUUUCGCCUCCACCUGGUAACUCAAGACGGUGCUAUGUGGAACUGUCUACAAGGAGCUAUGAGGAACUAUGAGGAACGCGUGACUCAGCGGGGCCCUCGGGGCCACUGGAACCGUGGGGGCCUGUGCCCCUGUGCCCCAGCAAGCACUAUCUCCGCCAACACUAUCUGUGCUGAAGGCAGCUGCCUGCAGGCUCUGUCCCCUCCCAGUCAAGUGCUCUAAUCUUUAGCUCCAGGCUCAGAAAUGCAGCCCUCUGAGUGCCAUUACAGGUGAAAAAGCUCCAGUCCACAAGGGUGAGACCAUCAAAGGCGUCUACUGGGCUGUAAUGCAUGAUGACUUUUCAGAUGACCCAAGACCACGGGGAGCAGAGACAGAGCUGAACGGUCUGAACGCCCUUUCCUGCGGUGCCGUGCUGGCCUGACCCUCACACAACCCGAGAGUGAGCGGCCCUCGGCACGGCUGAGCAUGUCGUUAAGUAUUUUAGUUUACCGAGUGGCUGGCUGCACUGCCCGAAGUUUGGAUAAUGACUCAUCGGUGACAACUGAGAGCAUGCCAGUAAGUCAUCUGAAACCAGAUCUGGCUCAGGACCGACAACAGAAUGCUCGGAGUGCCUGGUCCUCCUAAAGAUUUCAAACGCUCGGGCUUUUCCCCAGGAAUUGGAGCCCUUCCACCAUGUUUCAUCCUCCCGGUGACGGCCCUGGAGGAAGGACACGGCAGGGACAACCUGAACUUGACCGCACAGCAGCUACACUGGAGCAGUGGCAUCCUCGCUGAGCCAGGGCAGAGGGACAGCACCUUCUAACUCCAUCUUUUCAUGGGCUCUCAGAAGAAACGCACAUUUAUAUCAAACUGACGUAACUCCACAUCAUGUUCUUCAAUAUUUGGAGGGAAAAAGAGUAUGUUUCCUAAUUUUGGAAAAAAGUAUUUCUUAAAUGAAUUUUAACUGCACAUAAUAAACUCUUCAGAUCCCAAA